AAGCUCGUAGUUGAAUUUCGGGCCUGGCUGGACGGUCCGCCCUUCGGGUGAGUACUGUCUGUGGUCGGGUCCUACCUUCUGGCGAAGCGUCAUGGCCUUAACCGGCCGUGGCGGGGAACCAGGACUUUUACUGUGAAAAAAUUAGAGUGUUCAAAGCAGGCAAUCGCUUGGAUACAUUAGCAUGGAAUAAUGGAAUAGGACAAUGGUUCUAUUUGUUGGUUUCUAGGACCGUUGUAAUGAUUAAUAGGGAUAGUUGGG
rnacentral:rRNA from 2 species